CUUGAGCGACCCGAGCCAGAGCGGCUCCCCGGACCGGUCCCGGCCGUACGUCGCCAGCAGCGCCUGCGCCUC
rnacentral:antisense_RNA from 1 species